AGUGAACGCUGGCGGUAGGCCUAACACAUGCAAGUCGAACAGCAGCACAGUAAGAGCUUGCUCUUACGGGUGGCGAGUGGCGGACGGGUGAGGAAUACAUCGGAAUCUACUUUUUCGUGGGGGAUAACGUAGGGAAACUUACGCUAAUACCGCAUACGACCUACGGGUGAAAGCAGGGGAUCUUCGGACCUUGCGCGAUUGAAUGAGCCGAUGUCGGAUUAGCUAGUUGGAGGGGUAAAGGCCCACCAAGGCGACGAUCCGUAGCUGGACUGAGAGGGUGAUCCGCCACACUGGGACUGAGACACGGUCCAGACUCCUACGGGAGGCAGCAGUGGGGAAUAUUGGACAAUGGGCGCAAGCCUGAUCCAGCCAUACCGCGUGGGUGAAGAAGGCCUUCGGGUUGUAAAGCCCUUUUGUUGGGAAAGAAAAGCAGCAGGUUAAUACCCCGCUGUUCUGACGGUACCCAAAGAAUAAGCACCGGCUAACUUCGUG
rnacentral:rRNA from 1 species